rnacentral:rRNA from 1 species
CGUAACAAGGUCUCCGUUGGUGAACCAGCGGAGGGAUCAUUACCGAGUACUAUAACUCAUAACCCUUUGUGAACCUUCAUACCUGUUGCUUCGGCGGCGCGCCUCCCGGGGCGUGCCCGCCGGCAUUAUCAGAAUCUCUGUUCGAACCCGACGAUACUUCUGAGUGUUCUAAGCGAACUGUUAAAACUUUCAACAACGGAUCUCUUGGCUCCAGCAUCGAUGAAGAACGCAGCGAAACGCGAUAUGUAAUGUGAAUUGCAGAAUUCAGUGAAUCAUCGAAUCUUUGAACGCACAUGGCGCCUUCCAGUAUCCUGGGAGGCAUGCCUGUCCGAGCGUCGUUUCAACCCUCGAGCCCCCGUGGCCCGGCGUUGGGGACCUGCCCAGGCAGUCCCCGAAAACCAGUGGCGGACCCGACGGGCCCUUCCUUUGCGUAGUAACAUCUGCCUCGCAUCGGGAGCCCCCGGGCUAUCCGGCCUCUAAACCCCCCUCAAGCCCGCUCCGGCGGCACCAAGGUUGACCUCGGAUCAGGUAGGAAUACCCGCUGAACUUAAGCAUAUCAAUA